AUUGAACGCUGGCGGCAGGCUUAACACAUGCAAGUCGAGCGAGCGGCGGACGGGUGAGUACUGUCUGGGAAACUGCCUGAUGGAGGGGGAUCACUACUGGAAACGGUAGCUAAUACCGCAUACUAUCAGAUGUGCCCAGAUGGGAGUAGCUAGUAGGUGGGGUAAUGGGUCACCUGGGCGACGACCCCUCGCUGGUCUGAGAGGAUGACCAGCCACACUGGAACUGGGACACGGUCCAGACUCCUACGGAAGGCAGCAGUGGGAAAUAUUGCACAAUGGGCGCAAGCCUGAUGAAGCAAUGCCGCGUGUGUGAAGAAGGCCUUCGGGUUGUAAAGCACGUUCAGCGGGGAGGCGUUACUCGCAGAAGAAGCACCGGCUAACUCCGUGCCAGCCGCCGCGGUAAUAC
rnacentral:rRNA from 1 species